rnacentral:rRNA from 1 species
UACGUAGGGGGCAAGCGUUGUCCGGAAUCAUUGGGCGUAAAGCGCGUGUAGGCGGCCCGGUAAGUCCGCUGUGAAAGUCCAGGGCUCAACCCUGGGAUGCCGGUGGAUACUGUCGGGCUCGAGUCCGGAAGAGGAGUGUGGAAUUCCUGGUGUAGCGGUGAAAUGCGCAGAUAUCAGGAGGAACACCAAUUGCGAAGGCAGCUCGCUGGGACGUUACUGACGCUGAGACGCGAAAGCGUGGGGAGCAAACAGG